AGGCAAAACAAAACAAAUAGCAGCAACAUGAAAAGACAGAGCAAGCAAAAUAAAAUAAAUACAACUGAAAAAGCAGGUAAAACCACAAAACGCACCUAGAAACUACCAAUACCAUAAAAAAGAAGAAAAUCGCCUUAAGCCAACAAAACAACAGCACUCUACAAGCCAUAUAUCAGCCAAACAACUUUCUUCACCUUCUGAGAAAAAUUGAGACUGGUAAAAGAAGAAAAACGAAUGCUUUGAAUCCAGAAACUGGAGAUUCAGCGAACCUUCUCCACUUUCAAAGCAAAACAAAGAGAACCAUGAUGACUCUGGUUCCAAACCAGACAGUCCUUUAUCGCCAUCGUCUUCACAGAAUCAGGUACUCCAUCAACCCAGACCCCAAAAACCUGUCUUCUCCGUCCUUCUAACGCUAAAGUGUGAGCCGCUCCAUAACCGACUGGGGUAUAAACAGGGAAUCACCUUCCACGAUCAGAUGCCGGAAACCCAUCGCACACGCCAAAAGUAAUACCCUUUCGCAUGCCCUAGCUUCUGCCACAAAGGCAUCAACAACAUCCUCAAAAAGAUAAGUUUCCGCCCCCACAAUUUCUCCUUUCAAGUCUCUGGCUAAAACUGUUGUUGUAACGAGUCUAGUUUCACAUAGAAAAGUUACAUCAAAGUUUAACUUAAUAACACCAGCUUCUAGGGGUCUCCAAAGUUCUUUUACCAUAGAACUAAAAGACGAACUAAGGUUCACUUGAUUAAGUCUAAGAUCUUGAUCAUAUCCUCGAAUAAACCCCGAAAAUUAGUGUAAAGAGAAUUUUACACCUUCAUGUAACAGUUUAUUCCUUUGAAACCAUAGACCCCAUAUGGAAAUUGCAAUGAAUUGUUUUUGUUGUUCUUUUGCUGCAGAAAAGGUGUUAGCGAAACGAUUUUUGCAACACAUCAAAGCUCCGAAUGACAGAAUCGUAAUGUUUAAAGAUGCCCAUACACACUUUAGAAUACCACAAGACCACAUCAGAUGAUCAGCAUCCUCCGGAUCUUUUUUGCACAAGGGACAGACGAUUUCAACACUCAAAGUUCUACCCGCCAGAUUGCAAAAAUGAGAAAAAAAUCAUUAAACAGCCUUCAUAUGUGUAUUUUGAUUUUUGCUGGAAUAUGCAUAGCCCAUAAUGAUUUGUAAAAUUCAUUGUAGUCCUCAAUAUUAGGGAAGGUGACUACAGUAUUCUGUAGAUGCUUUGCAGAAAGAACCCGAUACCCACCUUUCACUGUAUAUUCCCUCGAGCCUUCAUAUUUCCAAACCAUCAUGUCUUCUGAUCCACCCCCGAAAAUAGGAAUGGAGAAAAUACGGGCUGCUGUAGCUGCAUCAACUAUAUUAAGAACCAGCUCCUUAUUCCAGGCAACCAAAAAUCAUUCCAUAUGUUGGUACGAGUGCUGUUACCAACACGCCACAAAAUCCCAUCCGUGAUUAACUCCCGAGCGCUGCAAAUGCUUCUCUAGGUAAAUGAAGGGUAAGAUCCAAUCUUUGCUGAAAGUAUAUCUGACAAAAGAUAAUAACGGGCUUUAACACUUUAGCUAAAAGACAAUUAGGCUGGAAUAAAAUAUGCCAAACCUGUUUUGUUUAUAAAGCCUUAUUAAACAAAAACAAAUCUUUAAAACACAUGCCACCAACACAUUUUGAUUUAUAUAAUAGCUCUCAUCUGCACCAA